UACGAAGGGGCUAGCGUUGUUCGGAAUACUGGGCGUAAAGCGCGCGCAGGCGGUUCUUCAAGUCAGAGGUGAAAGCCCAGAGCUCAACUCUGGAAUGGCCUUUGAGACUAGAGAACUAGGGUACGGGAGAGGUGAGUGGAAUUCCGAGUGUAGAGGUGAAAUUCGUAGAUAUUCGGAAGAACACCAGUGGCGAAGGCGGCUCACUGGCCCGUUACCGACGCUCAGGCGCGACAGCGUGGGGAGCAAACAGG
rnacentral:rRNA from 1 species